AUUGAACGCUGGCGGCAUGCCUUACACAUGCAAGUCGAACGGUAACAGGUUAAGCUGACGAGUGGCGAACGGGUGAGUAAUAUAUCGGAACGUGCCCAGUCGUGGGGGAUAACGUAGCGGAAGUUACGCUAAUACCGCAUACGAUCUAAGGAUGAAAGCGGGGGAUCGCAAGACCUCGCGCGAUUGGAAGGGCCGAUAUCAGAUUAGGUAGUUGGUGGGGUAAAGGCUCACCCAGCCAACGAUCUGUAGCCGGUGUGAGAGGACGACCAGCCACACUGGAACUGGGACACGGUCCAGACUCCUACGGGAGGCAGCAGUGGGGAAUUUUGGACAAUGGACGCAAGUCUGAUCCAGCCAUUCCGCGUGCAGGAUGAAGGCCCUCGGGUUGUAAACUGCUUUUGUACGGAACGAAAAGGUCUCUCUUAAUACGGGGGGCUCAUGACGGUACCGUAAGAAUAAGCACCGGCUAACUACGUGCCAGCAGCCGCCGUAA
rnacentral:rRNA from 1 species